ACAAAUUGUAGAGGUGCAAAUGCGAUAAGUAUAUCUUUUGAGUGGAAAACGAUGAGAAAGAUGGAAAGGCGUAUUUGCCGAAAUCAAUUAAGCGUCAUCUUAAUUGGUUGGGGUCGUUACCGAAAGGAACGACACUGUCGUAAUCAUCUUUAUGGUUACGGAGUGCUACUGUUAGG
rnacentral:ncRNA from 1 species